AUUGAACGCUGGCGGCAGGCCUAACACAUGCAAGUCGAGCGAGCGGCGGACGGGUGAGUAAUGUAUGGGGACUGCCCGAUAGAGGGGGAUAACUACUGGAAACGGUAGCUAAUACCGCAUACUAUCGGAUAACCCAUAUGGGAUUAGCUAGUUGGUGAGGUAAUGGCUCACCAAGGCGACGAUCCCUAGCUGGUCUGAGAGGAUGAUCAGCCACACUGGGACUGAGACACGGCCAAGACUCCUCCGGAGGAAGCAGUGGGGAAUAUUUGACAAUGGGCGAAAGCCUGAUACAGCCAUGCCGCGUGUAUGAAGAAGGCCCUAGGGUUGUAAAGUACUUUUAGCCGGGAGGCGUUACCGACAGAAGAAGCACCGGCUAACUCCGUGCCAGCAGCCGCGGUAAUAC
rnacentral:rRNA from 1 species